CUUUGAAAUCUACUGUAACUUUAUCUUUGAAAUCUACUGUAACUUUAUCUUUGAAAUCUACUGUAACUUUAGAAUACUUAAAUGUCAUCAUGUCAACUCAAUGAAACGAGUUCAUGCCUGAAUUAUUGUGUAUAUACUUUAUACUGUCUAUUGAAAUGAAGUCUACAGUCGUAUCAUGUUGUUUAUCAAUGUUUUAUUGUCCAUACAAUAUCCCAUAAUUGUAUGCUAAAGUGUCUAUCUAUACUCAUUCUAAAUGUAGUGUAACUCGUUGUUCUCUUUAUAAAGCAAUGUCUUUAGUUCAAAUGCAAGCAACUACUUUUACAGGUCAACUGGACCGACACCAUUCUUAUAGAAGGUCUCAACACUAAGCUGCAACGUCACAACCUGUGGGCAGUUUAGACCAAUAGCUCAUUGCCACGUGAACAGAUCUGUGUUCAGGCCUUCUAAAACGAUUGAAUUUUUAAAAAGUAAGAACCAAAUUGUUUGAACUAGUUCAAUGCAUUGUACGUUUGAUACCCCGGUAGAACAAACGUUGAGUUGAACAAAAGUUGGGUUGAACUAAAGUUGGGUUGAACUAA